rnacentral:tRNA from 1 species
AAGUUAAUUGGUUAGAGCACCUGCCUUCUAAGCAGGCGGUCGGUCACAGGUUCGAAUCCUUCUGCCA